rnacentral:tRNA from 1 species
ACCUGGCUGGCUCAGUCAGUAGAGCAUCUGACUCUUGAUCUCAGGGUUGUAGGUUUGAGCCCCAUGUUGGGUG